UUUAACUAUUGAAAGUUAACAAGCGUAUAAUAAAAUGCCAUAUAAUAUUAUGUAAAGGACAUUAGAGUUGAAGAAAUGAAGUUAUUACAAUGUGUUUCACUAUUACUAUGUCUCCAUUUUGUCAAAAGUCGUGGAUUUAAGCCAAAUAUUCUAAAAACAUCAGGUAACCAAGAUAAUAAGAAUGUGCUCAACACAGGAGAAGAUGAAACUAACAAUCGUGAGAAAGAAACAGAAAUAACAUCUAAUAAAGAUGAUGUUAUAAACGAAGUGUAUAAUAUUCCAGUCAAAAAUUCACUGAAAAGAAACAAUGAAUUUUAUAAUCUUAAGAAUAAUUUUGGAAUUAAACAUCUCAAUAACGAAAACAGAUUAGUAGAUAAAACAUUAAUAAAUGCACGAAAACAAAAUAGUAAAGUCGAGACCGAUAAAAAGAGAAAAGAUAAUGGAGAUAUUAUUUUAAAAAAUCUAAAUCCUUCGAGAAGAUAUAUUCAUAUUGACCCUGGUUUAAAUAGUAUAUUAGAUUCAUUUUUAUUAGAUAACGAUGGACACGUGAGACAUAUUAAUUAUUAUGGUCGGAGUAUUGAAAGACUGGAGGAUUAUAAUUAUUAUCACCGAGCUCGACAAUUGGGAAGAGAAAAACGUAGAGAAAGAGAAAAAUAUGAAAA